rnacentral:misc_RNA from 1 species
GAUGAAGAACGCAGCGAAAUGCGAUACUUGGUGUGAAUUGCAGAAUCCCGUGAACCAUCGAGUCUUUGAACGCAAGUUGCGCCCGAAGCCAUCAGGUUGAGGGCACGUCUGCCUGGGCGUCACAUAUCGUUGCCCAAUGCCUAUUGCAGUGCAAUAGGAAUUUCUAGGGCGAAUGAUGGCUUCCCGUGAGCGUUGUUGCCUCGCGGUUGGUUGAAAAUCGAGUCCUUGGUAGGGUGUGCCAUGGUAGAUGGUGGUCGAGUUAGAACGAUACCGAUCAUGUGCAUGCUCCCCAAAAUAUGGCCUCUAUGACCCACACGCGUCUUUUGACGCUCAUGACGAGACCUCAGGUCAGGCGGGGCUACCCGCUGAAUUUAAGCAUAUCAAAAGCGGAGGA